GUCCCUGCAGUGCAAUAGUUAGCACGUUGGACUUCUAAUCCAAGGGUCGUGGGUUCGAGACCCAUCUGGGAUG